rnacentral:rRNA from 1 species
GACGAACGCUGGCGGCGUGCCUAAUACAUGCAAGUUGAGCGCUGAAGGUUGGUACUUGUACCAACUGGAUGAGCAGCGAACGGGUGAGUAACGCGUGGGGAAUCUGCCUUUGAGCGGGGGACAACAUUUGGAAACGAAUGCUAAUACCGCAUAAAAACUUUAAACACAAGUUUUAAGUUUGAAAGAUGCAAUUGCAUCACUCAAAGAUGAUCCCGCGUUGUAUUAGCUAGUUGGUGAGGUAAAGGCCCACCAAGGCGAUGAUACAUAGCCGACCUGAGAGGGUGAUCGGCCACAUUGGGACUGAGACACGGCCCAAACUCCUACGGGAGGCAGCAGUAGGGAAUCUUCGGCAAUGGACGAAAGUCUGACCGAGCAACGCCGCGUGAGUGAAGAAGGUUGUCGGAUCGUAAAACUCUGUUGGUAGAGAAGAACGUUGGUGAGAGUGGAAAGCUCAUCAAGUGACGGUAACUACCCAGAAAGGGACGGCUAACUACGUG